AUGCCUCUGCCGCCCCCGGGCAUCAUCCUUCGCGACGCGCGGACGCCGCGGGGGUUCGUCCAGCUCCUCGCCUCCUCCUCCCCGCUUCCGCCGAGCCCGUCCGCCGCGGCGCAGUGCCAUGGGCUGGCCACCAAGCUCGGCCUCGCGGCUUGCAACGUCUUCGCGGGCACCGCCCUCCUCGCCUUCUACUGCCGCUGCCGCCGCCCGCGCGACGCCCAGCGACUGUUCGACGAAAUGCCCGAGAGGACCGGCGUCACCUGGAGCGCGCUCGUCUACGGCCACGCGCGGUCCAGCGCGCCGGGCCUGGCCGUGGAGGCUUUCGGACGCAUGGUGCGUGCCGGCUUCUCCCCCACGGCGGCGGCCGUGUCCAGCGCCCUUGUCGCGUGCGCGAGGAUGGAGGACGCGGGCGUCGGGGCGAUGCUCCACGCCGCUGGCCUCAAGUGCGGCAGCAUCGUCUGUGGCAGCGUCGUUGUCGGGACUGCGUUGGUGGACAUGUACGCCAAAUGCCGUGAUGUUUCGGCUGCUCAGCGGGUUCUUGAGGAGAUGGAAGAGAAGAAUGUGGCCACUUUUACGUCUCUUGUCGGCGGGUUCGCCUCAGCCGGAAGACCUCGCGAGGCCAUGGUGUUGGUCAGGGAGAUGGAACAGUCAGGGGUGGCACCAAACAUGAUGACGUACAGCAGCCUUCUCAGCUCAUUGGAGAGCCCCCAGGACCUAGACCAUGGGAGGCAAGCGCAUUGUGCGGUGGUAAAGAAGGGUCUCGAGCACAAUCCGUAUGUUCUGUCCACUCUUAUGACCAUGUACUCCAAGUGUGGCAGCUUAGAUGAUUUCAGGGAGGUACAGAUGAGUGUUUCGUGUCAGGAUCAGGUCACGCUCAAUUCCAUGAUCUCGGGGCUCUCCUGUUUGGGAAGAGGCGACGAGGCAUUUCAGCAGUUCUUGGAGAUGAGACGGCAUGGCGCUGACACAGAUAUGUUCACCUUUGGCAGCAUGCUGAAGGCUAUAGGGAGCUCAUCCUCACUGCUGGAGGGAAGACAAGUCCAUGCUCUGAUCCUCAAAACUGGGUAUGAGUCUGCUGUGAAUGUCCAGAACGGUUUGAUCUCCAUGUACGCCAGGCGCGGUGAGAUAGGGGAAGCCAGGGAUGUUUUCACUUCGGUGGAAGCGCCUGAUUUGGUCUCCUGGAAUUCGCUUCUGACAGGAUAUGCUCAACAUGGUUAUGGCAAACAGGUGGUUGAGGUGUUUGAACGGAUGAGGAGACUGAAUGUUCAUCCAGACAACACAACCUUCUUGUUGGUGCUUACAGCUUGCAGCCACGCCGGUUUGGUGGAUACAGGGUUGGAGUACUUCAACUUGAUGAAGACAAACGGGUUUCUCGCAGGGGCGCGGCUAGAGCACUACGCGUGCGUGGUCGAUCUUCUUGGACGAGCGGGCCAUCUCCAAGAAGCCGAGGCUUUGAUCAACGACAUGCCUAUUGAACCUGGCGUCUCGGUGUACAGAGCUCUGCUUAGUGCCUGCCAGAUCCACGGCAACCUUGAGAUUGCGAUCCGGGUGUCCACGCGCCUGGUCGAGCUCUACCCUCACGACUCCUCUGCCCAUGUUCAGCUGUCAAAGGUCUUUGCCGGUGAUGGCCACUGGGGUGAUGCUGCCGAGGUCAGGGAGGCCAUGGCAGGUAAAGGGGUAGUGAAGAACCCUGCUUGGAGCUGUGUCGAGGACCGGGUACAGGUUGGAUAA
rnacentral:rRNA from 1 species